rnacentral:lncRNA from 1 species
UUUUUUUAUUUUUGGUCUUGAACUCCUGGGCUCCGGCAAUCCUCUUGCCUCAGCCUCCCAAGGUGCUGGCACUAUAGGCACGAGCCACUGGGGGUUUCUUUUUGAGGGGAUGAAAUACAUUAGAAUAAACUUAAGAUAAGUGAUGACAGAUUCUCAGCAGAAAAGGUAUGUUAAACAGCAGAUUUAAAUAUUAAAACGCAUGCCAAAAGUUGCCUAGAAAAAGCUGUUUUAAGACAAUGAAAUUAUUUUGUGUUUUAACUUGGCAUGUGAAAAGGUAAUUGAUAAAAGUAAGUUUUUUGUACCUACUUAGCAGGCAGGAAAGGACAGCACAGAGCCUGUGUCCUCAGCAGUGGGACCUGCUACUCCAGGACGGCUGGGGUGGAGUGCCGGCUCCCGCGCCCCACCCAGCAGGGACAGCAGGGCUGAGGGCUGGGGCCCCACUGGCUUCAGGAGGAAGACGACGUCAACACUGACUGAGUUCCUUUUCUGAAGUAACUGCGGCAACAGUUUCAAUAAACCCAUGGAACCUUUGACACCAGAAAUGACCUUUAUUCUCUACCUUUUUCACGUGAUAAGCCAUGGGGAGGAAAAGGAUAAAGGAUCGGGUGCCCCCCGUGCCGGCUUGGAACUUGCUGAAGGUGCCAGGUAGGGCUGUGCAGCUGCAUCUUAGUCACGGGAAGCAGAAACAGGUUCACAGCAUUCAGCACUAAAGUCACUCUCAAGGUCUCCAGACCAUUUGGAAUUGUGAGUACAGUUCACUUUAACAAACUUUCUCUCCUGGAUUUGAUUUAGUUCCACUUGUUUGAAAGGAAGGACUCCAGAUUAACUUCUGCGCUGUGGCACACUACAAAGUUUCCGAAGAACUUUAAUUACCUUGCGGAUGCCCCAACCACCAGCAGUGCGUCUCCUGGGGGACAGACACAUUGAUCCAGACCAAAAGCCAGGGAGGAGGCAGCGGGCCAGGAGGAAGAGGUCCAAACAGGGAUGCUGGUUCUGGGUAUACCAACCACGAAAUGCCAGUGAAUUCAAGAACAAAACCCCAAAUGCCAACGCAGAACGGCAGGACGGAGGCCAAGGGACUGGGAAAAUAGAAAAAUUAAUCUGCAAGACAAGGCGCCACCAUGGUGCCCACAACAGCUCACACUCAGAGUCACAGCGGACGGGCUCCUCAGGCCCAGUCAGGCACAAAUCAGGUACUUUCCUCCUGGCACCCACAGCGUCAGCCUGGUGGGCCCAACGGCAAACCUCUGUGCUCCCUGUGCCCAGCAAAGGAUGUGCCAAGAGUCCAAGGCUGAAAUCAGUGGCCUUUGAACAUCUUUCUGAGCCACAGACUACUUACUCUUUGGACAAAAAUCUCUCAUUGAGGCCUACUGCGUAACGAUGAGAAAAUCAAACUUCUGUUUGAGGCCAACACGGGAGCCCAAGAACAUCACACACACAUACUCCCACAGCCUGCGGAGCCUGCCCUAAGCCACAGAUGCCCCCAGCUACGCCCUACUGAGGAGCACAGCUCUAGCCCCGCGGCCUCUUGGAUCCCGGAGUCAUACACUGCAGAUGGAGAGGGUAGAGGGCAGGCUCCACAGAGAACCCCGGCCAGGGAGGGCCCACACUGCACAUGGCCCACCGGGACGCCCGGGCAUGGCAGACAGGCAGUGCUCCCUCCACCCACUGGCAGCUGGAAGCUCCGUGUGUCCAAUCUUGACCUUCACUUUGUUUCAGGGCACAGCACCACCUGCAGGCACCGCCUCGCACCCGGGGGAGCCACCCUAACUGUCCACGCUCGGCCCUGUCCUGCCCACACACACUCAGGCCUUCUGCAGACCUGCAGAGGACGUAGGAGGUAGUGGAGGCCAAAUGAGGCGGCUCCCCGCAGGGGGACAGCCCCCAGGAGACAUCGGGCAGGGCUGGGCAGGUCACAGGCAUGGAGGCCCAGCAGAGGGACAGCCGGUGCCCCACGUGUGAUCCCUCAGGCCCAGGGCCUUGGCUCAGCCGCAGUGUCGUGCAGAAGCGUGCAUCCUCAGCCACCCCCUCAACCCGACCAGGAUGGCUCAAAGGAGGUUUUCUUCCUGCAAACCCCUGGCAGAGAAGGCUCCUACAGGCUCUGCCAGGGGGUUGCAGGAAGAAAACUGGAAACUCUUUAAAUUGAUCAUGUUCUGGUCGGGCGCGGUGGCUCACGCCUGUAAUCCCAGCACUUUGGGAGGCCAAGGUGGGCAGAUCACGAGGUCAGGAGAUCGAGACUAUCCUGGUUAACACAGUGAAAUCGCGUCUCUACUAAAAAUACAAAAUGUUAGCCGGGCGUGAUGGCGGCGCCUGUAG